ACUGGUUCUAUCUUGCCAGUUUCCAUUUGUCCAAAGCUAAGUCUCCUUCGCUUACAUACUUUCUCUUUUUAACACAUGCCCUUCUAGCAGAUCCCUGCCAUAAGGGUCCAGACCAUGAGUGAAGCUCUCCACUGACACUUGUCUGUUGAGGUAUCAGCAUCACUGCUCUUCUCUGCUGUAAGAGGCAGGUUUCCUGGUUGUACCUGGUCUUUAGUGAUUUGCAGAAAGAAUUCCAACUCACUUCACUGCCAGAUGGUGUCUGUGUAAGCGCAUAAAGUUGUGCUCUCUGGCUCACUCUGGAAGUGUCUCUAAUGUGAGGGAGGCGAUCAGGAAAACUGGGUGAUUGCUCCCUUGACCGCUCCGAUCCUGACCUCUUCUGGACUUCCUGAAUAUCUGGACUGACUGCAGCUACUGUAAGAUUUCAUUAGAUAAUUUAUAUUACUUGUGGGAAUGUAAAAAGAAU